rnacentral:tRNA from 1 species
GGGGAUAUAGCUCAGUUGGUAGAGUGCUUGCCCUGCAUACACAAGGCCUGGGUUCAAUCCCCAGCACCACCA